UCGAGAAUCAUUCGCAAUGGGCGAAAGCCUGACGAUGCGACGCCGUGUGAGCGAUGAAGGCCUUCGGGUCGUAAAGCUCUUUCGCUUGGGAACAAGAAAAGCUGGCUAAUAUCCAGCGGAUUUGAGAGUACCAGGUAAAGAAGCACCGGCUAACUCCGUGCCAGCAGCUGCGGUAAUACGGAGGGUGCAAGCAUUAAUCGGAUUUAUUGGGCGUAAAGGGCGCGUAGGCGGAAAGAUAAGUCAGAUGUGAAAUCCCGAAGCUCAACUUCGGAACAGCAUUUGAAACUGUUUUUCUUGAGGAUAGAUGGAGAAAACGGAAUUCCACAAGUAGCGGUGAAAUGCGUAGAUAUGUGGAAGAACACCAGUGGCGAAGGCGGUUUUCUAAUUUAGACCUGACGCUGAGGCGCGAAAGUAAGGGGAUCAAACAGGAUUAGAUACCCGGGUAGUCC
rnacentral:rRNA from 1 species